UACGUAGGGUGCAAGCGUUAAUCGGAAUUACUGGGCGUAAAGCGUGCGCAGGCGGUUGUGCAAGACCGAUGUGAAAUCCCCGGGCUUAACCUGGGAAUGGCAUUGGUGACUGCACGGCUAGAGUGUGUCAGAGGGGGGUAGAAUUCCACGUGUAGCAGUGAAAUGCGUAGAGAUGUGGAGGAAUACCGAUGGCGAAGGCAGCCCCCCUGGGGAUAACAC
rnacentral:rRNA from 1 species